GCAAUGGUGGUUCAGUGGUAGAAUUCUCUCCUUCCAAGUGGGAGACCCCGGUUCAAUUCCUGGCCAACGUG
rnacentral:tRNA from 1 species